UACGGGGGGAGCAAGCGUUGUUCGGAUUUACGGGGCGUAAAGGGCGCGUAGGCGGCCACCGCAAGUCAGUUGUGAAAGCUCUGGGCUUAACCCAGAAAGGUCAACUGAUACUGCGGGGCUAGAGUGCAGAAGGGGCAACUGGAAUUCUCGGUGUAGCGGUGAAAUGCGUAGAUAUCGAGAGGAACACCUGCGGCGAAGGCGGGUUGCUGGGCUGACACUGACGCUGAAGUGCGAAAGCUAGGGGAGCGAACGGG
rnacentral:rRNA from 1 species